rnacentral:rRNA from 1 species
GGAAAGAUGAAAAGCACUUUGGAAAGAGAGUUAACAGUACGUGAAAUUGUUGGAAGGGAAACGAUUGAAGUCAGACUUGUUAUCUGGAGUUCAGCCUUUCGGUGUACUCUCCAGUUUACAGGCCAGCAUCAGUUUUCGGGGCGGGAAAAUCGUAAUUAGAAGGUAGCAGCCUAGCUGUGUUAUAGCUUUUUACUGGAUUCCGCUUUGGGGACUGAGGAACGCAGUGUGCUUUUAGCAAUACCCUCGGGUAUUUCACACUUAGGAUGCUGGUGGAAUGGCUUUAAACGACCCGUCUUGUAACACGGACCAAGGAGUCUAACAUAUGUGCGAGUACAGGGGUGGCAAACCCCCGUGCGCAAUGAAAGUGACAGUGGUUGGACCUUUUGGGCACAAUCCGCCGGCCUCAAUCCUUCGGGAGAACGGUCUGAGUGUGAGCAUACAU